CGCGUCUGAUUAGCUAGUUGGUGAGGUAACGGCCCACCAAGGCGACGAUCAGUAGCCGACCUGAGAGGGUGGCCGGCCACAUUGGGACUGAGACACGGCCCAAACUCCUACGGGAGGCAGCAGUGGGGAAUAUUGCACAAUGGGGGAAACCCUGAUGCAGCAACGCCGCGUGAGUGAAGAAGUAUUUCGGUAUGUAAAGCUCUAUCAGCAGGGAAGAAGAAAGACGGUACCUGACUAAGAAGCCCCGGCUAACUACGUGCCAGCAGCCGCGGUAAUACGUAGGGGGCAAGCGUUAUCCGGAUUUACUGGGUGUAAAGGGAGCGUAGACGGCUGUGCAAGUCUGAAGUGAAAGCCCGUGGCUCAACCGCGGAACUGCUUUGGAAACUGUAUAGCUUGAGUACUGGAGAGGCAGGCGGAAUUCCUAGUGUAGCGGUGAAAUGCGUAGAUAUUAGGAGGAACACCAGUGGCGAAGGCGGCCUGCUGGACAGAAACUGACGUUGAGGCUCGAAAGCGUGNGGAGCAAACAGGAUUAGAUACCCCNGUAGUCCACGCGGUAAACGAUGAAUGCUAGGU
rnacentral:rRNA from 1 species